rnacentral:rRNA from 1 species
UACGUAGGGACCAAGCGUUGUCCGGAAUUAUUGGGCGUAAAGGGCGCGUAGGCGGCCAUGCGUGUCUUCCGUGAAAUCCCUCGGCUUAACUGAGGACGUGCGGAAGAAACUGCAAGGCUCGAGUCCGGGAGAGGGGGGUGGAAUUCCCAGUGUAGCGGUGAAAUGCGUAGAUAUUGGGAGGAACACCGGUGGCGAAGGCGGCCCCCUGGACCGGUACUGACGCUGAUGCGCGAAAGCGUGGGUAGCAAACGGG